GGACAGGGAUGAAAAUAACCAAAUUUGAGCAUCAGAACCUUCUAGUUUACCUGAAGCAUGAUCUCAGAAGUUCUGAGA